rnacentral:rRNA from 1 species
GACGAACGUUGGCGGCGUGCUUAAUACAUGCAAGUCAACUGAAGCAGUGGUAGCAAUAUCGCUGUGGAGGUGGCGCACGGGUGAGUAACACGUAGGUAAUCUGCCUUCAGGUCUGGCAUAACUCCGGGAAACCGGGGCUAACAGCAGAUGAUGCAGCGGCUCGACAUCGAGACAGUUGUUAAAGCUAUGGCGCCUGAAGAUGAGCCUGCGUCUGAUUAGCUAGUUGGCGGGGUAACGGCCCACCAAGGCAACGAUCAGUAGCUGGUCUGAGAGGAUGAUCAGCCACACUGGAACUGAGACACGGUCCAGACUCCUACGGGAGGCAGCAGUAAGGAAUAUUGCUCAAUGGGAGAAAUCCUGAAGCAGCAACGCCGCGUGAGGGACGAAGGGCUUUUGCUUGUAAACCUCUGUAGUGAGAGAAAAAAAUCCCAAUCUUUGGGACAUGAUGGUAUCUCAAAAGUAAGCCCCGGCUAACUACGUG